UACAGAGGUCCCAAGCGUUGUUCGGAUUCACUGGGCGUAAGGUAGGCGUAGGCGGUCGGGUAAGUCUGAUGUGAAAUCUCACAGCUUAACUGUGAAACUGCAUUGGAUACUAUCCGGCUCGAGGAAUGGAGGGGAGACUGGAAUACUUGGUGUAGCAGUGAAAUGCGUAGAUAUCAAGUGGAACACCAGUGGCGAAGGCGAGUCUCUGGACAUUUCCUGACGCUGAGGCACGAAAGCCAGGGGAGCAAACGGG
rnacentral:rRNA from 1 species